rnacentral:rRNA from 1 species
UUUCUUCGGAUUGAAGUUUUUGUGACUGAGUGGCGGACGGGUGAGUAACGCGUGGGUAACCUGCCUCAUACAGGGGGAUAACAGUUAGAAAUGACUGCUAAUACCGCAUAAGCGCACAGUGCUGCAUGGCACAGUGUGAAAAACUCCGGUGGUAUGAGAUGGACCCGCGUCUGAUUAGCUAGUUGGUGGGGUAACGGCCUACCAAGGCGACGAUCAGUAGCCGGCCUGAGAGGGUGAACGGCCACAUUGGGACUGAGACACGGCCCAAACUCCUACGGGAGGCAGCAGUGGGGAAUAUUGCACAAUGGGGGAAACCCUGAUGCAGCGACGCCGCGUGAGCGAAGAAGUAUUUCGAUAUGUAAAGCUCUAUCAGCAGGGAAGAAAAUGACGGUACCUGACUAAGAAGCACCGGCUAAAUACGUGCCAGCAGCCGCGGUAAUACGUAUGGUGCAAGCGUUAUCCGGAUUUACUGGGUGUAAAGGGAGCGUAGACGGUUGUGUAAGUCUGAUGUGAAAGCCCGGGGCUCAACCCCGGGACUGCAUUGGAAACUAUGUAACUAGAGUGUCGGAGAGGUAAGCGGAAUUCCUAGUGUAGCGGUGAAAUGCGUAGAUAUUAGGAGGAACACCAGUGGCGAAGGCGGCUUACUGGACGAUCACUGACGUUGAGGCUCGAAAGCGUGGGGAG